rnacentral:lncRNA from 1 species
AUGAUCCUGCAACAGCCCCUGUGGCAAGGUCUACCAAGUCAGGACCACAGGCCACCACUGGGGUGAUUCGUGGCCUGGACAUCAGGGAAUAUUUCCACAAGCAGUUCCUGAUUGAGGAGAACAUGGCUACCCAUUUCUCCUGACUCAGCCUACAUAAUGACCAUCCCUACUGCAGCCCCCCUGUGACUUUUCCUGAAGCCCUGCCACCUCUUAGGAGCCCUUGCCCAGAGCUGCAUCUCUGGUACUAUCCUGAAGCCUGAUUCCUGAUGCCCUCAGGUUGCUGAGGCUGGGGGAUACCUCCAGCCCCUACUACUCUGCAUCUCCAACUGGG